GAGACUCUCAAAAUGUACUGGUCAUGGAUCUGACUUCCACAUCCUACACACAUCGCGAAUCCUGGCUUCUCUGCAAAGAGGCCACAGCCUUGUCAACACAAUGUUCGGACACUAAAUCUUUCUGCUGGAAAGUGCACGGAGCAGUUCGGCGUACUUACUUUUGGAAUGAUCCCCCAUAUCACCCAAGAAAGAAGAGCUGAAAAUAAUAUCCACCAUACAGGACGGAUCAAGGGGAGUGAGCUCGACGCAAAAAAGAUGGGGAAAGAUCGCCGGCCCUUCGGCAGCCUCCCAGAUAACUUGUGUUUCUCCGGACUGGAGAAGGGGCCGAAGAGGCUACAAGGUCCCCACACGCUACUCUUAUGACGUCACGACGUCAAAGCUGCCUUCUCCAAUCGCUUUUUUGCACCUAUCCAACAACCAGGCGGCUUUGGAGAGGAGCAUAAAGAAUGAUAGUGGCAUGAAGGGAAGCCUAAGAUUGCAGAUGUUGAUAUGUUAUCUUUAUUCAAGAUACAAUUUAGAGGUUUAAACCCAGCCCUGCUAAUAAUAAUGUCUGUUUGGGGAAUAUUAUGACUGUGACACAAUUUAUAUCAUAAGAUAUUUUGUUUUAAACAAAAGUGAUUAAAUUGCGUUAUUCUAAAGUUUUCAAUCGGUGGUAUUUAAAUAAACAAAUAUUUAAUUAUUAGCGUUAGAUAAGUCAACUAUGUUUUAAUUGGCUGAUCAGCCUCACGCACUAAAACAGUUAAAUAAUCACAAUGUGCAUUAAUAAUUACGUUCCUCAAUUUGUCUUGCAAAAUGCUAUUUAGGAUUAUAUAAAAAUAAUAUUAUAUAAAAACAAGUCAUAUUUCAUUAUGAGUUCCUAGAGUCAUGUGUGAGAAAGUACAAAGAGACACUUCAGCUUUUAUCUUCUCAUUAAAAUAUGUACUUAAACUAUAACAAGUCAUACGUUCGGUCUCAGUUUUGGACAUAAAUCAGAGGACAUUGAUACUGCUUUUAAUCUCAAAUCAUCCAUUCGAGAACAAGGCCAUCUACUGGAUGAAGUUGGAACUACAACGCUUUGACUGAAGGAUGGGUAGGGGCGCUUCAUAUUAAAGCAGAACAGGGUGAAAGAGACUGGGAGACGGAAGCGUACAGCUUUGUGUUGUUAAAUAUACUUUUAUGUUUGUACAUAAAAAUAAAAUAAUACAUACAUGUACAUAAAAUAAUAUCAGGUUAUAUAUAUAUAUAUAUAUUGCUAUUACAAACAACCUUUCACGUUUUUACAAUGCAGUGAUUGUAUUUUAAUAACUAAAUAAUAUGUUGUACAAAUAUAAGAACUUUAUUAAUAGAACAUUUAAGAAGUUGAAGUUAUAAAAUGAUAGCUUUUAUUGUUACAAAAUGUUUAUGCUAUAACAUUAUGAAAUUUGUCAAGUGGACAAUGUAGAAAUUCUAUCAAUUUAUUCAACAUAUUUUGGAGGUUUGUACAUGUGAGAAUGUAGAAAAGGUUUGUUAUAACCUGAUAAAUUGGUGCAUUGUAAUUAUAGAAUGGUAGUAUAUUGCAUAAAUAUGGAAAAAUAUAUUGUUGGUACAAUAAGCUUUUCUCAAUAUAACAUAACAAGUAAAUUAUCAAUACCUGUUUUUCUUGGAUAAAUAAAAAAAACUAAACUGGUUUAGGAAGGGAAAUCAGCAUAUGAACUAUUGUGUGUGUGGUCAACACCUUUCUGUUUAACAUUAUCUAUGUAGAACUCAUACAGGGAGAUUUUACUUACGGAAUUUCAACCUGUUUUAAUUCUAUGUGUGUCUCUUUUACCUCUUUUACAGUUUGUUUUAAAAUAUUGUUUUAUACAUGUCAUCAUUAACUGAAUACAUUUCAGUAAUCAUUACCUCAUUUUUUAGAAAACUUUAUUACAUUCCUUAUCCGCAUAGGAACAGUUGUGCUUUUUCUUGUUUUGUUAAUUUGUUCUCUUUUGAUUUACUGAAAUUUUUUCUGAAGCAAAGUUUAUUAUACAGUAUUCAUACUAGAGCAAUCGUUAGAUCUAUAAGUCUUGUUUUGACAGCUAACCCCUGAGAUCCACAAAAUGAGUUAAUUUUGUGACUGCAUGGAAGUUUUCAGUAUGUAAGUGAUGUGUUUUAGGGAGACUGCUGCACAGACCAGUUUAAAUAAUAGAUACAUGGAUGUAUUGGUUAAUAA